GACAGAGGGUGCAAACGUUGUUCGGAAUUACUGGGCGUAAAGCGCGUGUAGGCUGCUUCGAAAGUCGGAUGUGAAAGCCCUGGGCUCAACCUAGGAAGUGCAUUCGAAACUUCGAAGACUGGAGUCCUGGAGAGGAAGGCGGAAUUCUCGGUGUAGAGGUGGAAAUUCGAUAGAUAUCGAGAGGAACGACCUGUGGCGAAGGCGGAC
rnacentral:rRNA from 1 species